UACUCGAGUGGCGAACGGGUGAGUAACACGUGGGUGAUCUGCCCUGCACUUCGGGAUAAGCCUGGGAAACUGGGUCUAAUACCGGAUAGGAGCCAUUUUUAGUGUGAUGGUUGGAAAGUUUUUUCGGUGUAGGAUGAGCUCGCGGCCUAUCAGCUUGUUGGUGGGGGUAAUGGCCUACCAAGGCGGCGACGGGUAGCCGGCCUGAGAGGGUGGACGGCCACAUUGGGACUGAGAUACGGCCCAG
rnacentral:rRNA from 1 species